rnacentral:rRNA from 1 species
UACGUAGGGGGCAAGCGUUAUCCGGAUUUACUGGGUGUAAAGGGAGCGUAGACGGCUGUGCAAGCCAGAUGUGAAAGCCCGGGGCUCAACCCCGGGACUGCAUUUGGAACUGUGUGGCUGGAGUGUCGGAGAGGCAGGCGGAAUUCCUAGUGUAGCGGUGAAAUGCGUAGAUAUUAGGAGGAACACCAGUGGCGAAGGCGGCCUGCUGGACGAUGACUGACGUUGAGGCUCGAAAGCGUGGGGAGCAAACAGG